UACGUAGGGGGCAAGCGUUGUCCGGAAUCAUUGGGCGUAAAGAGCGUGUAGGCGGCUUGGCAAGUCUGGUGUGAAAUCUUGCGGCUCAACCGCAAGCGGUCACUGGAAACUGCCUCGCUAGAGUCCGGAAGAGGAGAGCGGAAUUCCUGGUGUAGCGGUGGAAUGCGCAGAUAUCAGGAAGAACACCCGUGGCGAAGACGGCUCUCUGGGACGGUACUGACGCUGAGACGCGAAAGCGUGGGGAGCGAACAGG
rnacentral:rRNA from 1 species